rnacentral:sRNA from 1 species
UUGGCCAGGCGUAUCGAGACCUGGGAGCACUUGCAAGAAAAACGCAGCAAACGCCUGAGUUUGAAAUCCAAACAAACUGUUGCAGCAGCAGCAACCGGCAGGCAUGUGGCAUGUGGCAAGUGCAGCAGAAAUGGCAAAUAAAUAAAUAUUAACUGCUCGUAUUUGCAAUCUUUGUUGAAUUUGCUGAACUCAAAUAGCAACAGCCAAGGCAAAGCCAAAGGUAGAGGCAACGGUAGAGGCAAAGGCAGCAGCAGCAGCAGCAUCUCCAACUGUCCAACCAGGGACGCAAAAAAUAACUUUCGAAUCGGAUGAAAUCUAUGUGAAGUCAAAGGAGAACUCGAGCAGAUGUGGAGCAAUAGCAAAUGGAUGGACAGAUCGAUUCGCUUGGUUGGACUCAUUAGGGAUAAUGAUUUUCAAAUCAGCUUAGGAAAAGCCUUGUAAGAAGAGAUCAACAUAACCGACAUCAAAAUCUUAUCA